GGAGAGGUGGCUGAGCUGGCUGAAAGCGCCCGCCUGCUAAGCGGGUAUACGGUGACGAGCUGUAUCGAGGGUUCGAAUCCCUCCCUCUCCG
rnacentral:tRNA from 2 species